GCCCCUUUGGCCCAGUGGUUAAGGUUUCGCUCUCGUAAAGCGAAGAUCGGUGGUUCGAAUCCGCCAAGGGGCU